GACGAACGCUGGCGGCGUGCCUAAUACAUGCAAGUAGAACGCAGUUGCGAACGGGUGAGUAACGCGUAGGUAACUGCCUGGUAGCGGGGGAUAACUAUUGGAAACGAUAGCUAAUACCGCAUACUACCAGAUGGACCUGCGUUGUAUUAGCUAGUUGGUGGGGUAACGGCUCACCAAGGCAACUAGACAUAGCCGACCGGGGAGGUGGAGCGGCCACACUGGGACUGGGACACGGCCCAGACGCCUACGGGGGGCAGCAGUAGGGAAUCGUCGGAAAUGGGGGGAACCCUGACCGAGCAACGCCGCGUGAGUGAAGAAGGUUUUCGGAUCGUAAAGCUCUGUUGUUAAGGAAGCGGUACUUAACCAGAAAGGGACGGCUAACUACGUGCCAGCAGCCGCGGUAAUUC
rnacentral:rRNA from 1 species